GCAGAUUCUUUACAAACAAACAACUAACUUUGUACAACUACUCAAUUAGCUAUUUAUACAAAGCUAAAACUCUGCGCCUCCUAACUGCCCCAAACAGUUAGGCAUCUCCUUUUUAUUCCUUCGCACAUACACUUUCCAACUCCUAACAUUUCCCUCCCCUUCUCCAGCAACCUUGUCCCCAAGGUUGAAUUCGAGGUAUUGGUCG
rnacentral:lncRNA from 1 species